rnacentral:rRNA from 1 species
UUGACCUCAAAUCAGGUAGGACUACCCGCUGAACUUAAGCAUAUCAAUAAGCGGAGGAAAAGAAACUAACAAGGAUUCCCCUAGUAACUGCGAGUGAAGCGGGAAAAGCUCAAAUUUGAAAUCUGAUGGUUUUUGACCGUCCGAGUUGUAAUCUAGAGAAGUGUUUACCCGUGCUGGACUGUGUACAAGUCUCCUGGAAUGGGGCAUCGUAGAGGGUGAGAAUCCCGUCUUUGACACGGACUGCCAGUGCACUAUGGGUGUGCUCUCGAAGAGUCGAGUUGUUUGGGAAUGCAGCUCAAAAUGGGUGGUAAAUGCCAUCUAAAGCUAAAUAUUGGCGAGAGACCGAUAGCGAACAAGUACCGUGAGGGAAAGAUGAAAAGAACUUUGGAAAGAGAGUUAAACAGUACGUGAAAUUGCUGAAAGGGAAACGCUUGAAGUCAGUCGCGUUGGCCAGAAAUCAGCCUUGCUUUUGCUUGGUGUAUUUUCUUGUCUUUACGGGUCAGCAUCAAUCUUGACCAUUGGAUAAGGUCUGUGGGAAUGUGGCAUCUUUGGAUGUGUUAUAGCCCAUGGUCGCAUACGGUGGUUGGGAUUGAGGAACUCAGCACGCCCGCGAGGGACGGGUUU